UACGGAGGGGGCUAGCGUUGUUCGGAAUUACUGGGCGUAAAGCGCACGUAGGCGGCUUUGUGAGUUAGAGGUGAAAGCCCGGGGCUCAACCCCGGAAUUGCCUUUAAGACUGCAUCGCUAGAAUUGUGGAGAGGUGAGUGGAAUUCCGAGUGUAGAGGUGAAAUUCGUAGAUAUUCGGAAGAACACCAGUGGCGAAGGCGACUCACUGGACACAUAUUGACGCUGAGGUGCGAAAGCGUGGGGAGCAAGCAGG
rnacentral:rRNA from 1 species